rnacentral:rRNA from 1 species
CCUACGGGAGGCAGCAGUGGGGAAUAUUGGACAAUGGGCGAAAGCCUGAUCCAGCAAUGCCGCGUGAGUGAAGAAGGCCUUCGGGUUGUAAAGCUCUUUUACCCGGGAAGAUAAUGACUGUACCGGGAGAAUAAGCUCCGGCUAACUCCGUGCCAGCAGCCGCGGUAAUACGGAGGGAGCUAGCGUUGUUCGGAAUUACUGGGCGUAAAGCGUACGUAGGCGGCUUGGUAAGUCAGAGGUGAAAGCCCACGACUCAAUCGUGGAACUGCCUUUGAGACUGCUUCGCUUGAAGAUGGGAGAGGUUAGUGGAAUUCCGAGUGUAGAGGUGAAAUUCGUAGAUAUUCGGAAGAACACCAGUGGCGAAGGCGGCUAACUGGACCAUUCUUGACGCUGAGGUACGAAAGCGUGGGGAGCAACAGGAUUAGAUACCCUGGUAGUCCACGCCGUAAACGAUGAUAGCUAGCUGUCGGGGCUCUUGGAGCUUCGGUGGCGCAGCUACGACAUAGUUAUCCGUCCGUGGGUAGGUACGGCCGCGAACGGUAAACGUACAAUAGAUAGACGGCGUGAGACGUGCCGACGGACGACCGACGAGGGAGGUAGG